rnacentral:rRNA from 1 species
GUCAGCUCGUGUCGUGAGAUGUUGGGUUAAGUCCCGCAACGAGCGCAACCCUUGAUCUUAGUUGCCAGCACUUUGGGUGGGCACUCUAGGAUGACUGCCGGUGACAAACCGGAGGAAGGUGGGGAUGACGUCAAAUCAUCAUGCCCCUUAUGACCUGGGCUACACACGUACUACAAUGGCCGAUACAACGGGAAGCGAAACCGCGAGGUGGAGCCAAUCCUAUCAAAGUCGGUCUCAGUUCGGAUUGCAGGCUGCAACUCGCCUGCAUGAAGUCGGAAUUGCUAGUAAUCGCGGAUCAGCAUGCCGCGGU